rnacentral:rRNA from 1 species
UACGAAGGGGGCUAGCGUUGCUCGGAAUCACUGGGCGUAAAGGGUGCGUAGGCGGGGCUUUAAGGCAGGGGGGAAAUCCUGGAGCUCAACUCCAGAACUGCCUUUGAUACUGAGGAUCUUGAGUUCGGGAGAGGUGAGUGGAACUGCGAGUGUAGAGGUGAAAUUCGUAGAUAUUCGCAAGAACACCAGUGGCGAAGGCGGCUCACUGGCCCGAUACUGACGCUGAGGCACGAAAGCGUGGGGAGCAAACAGG